rnacentral:rRNA from 1 species
UACGUAGGGGGCGAGCGUUGUCCGGAUUUAUUGGGCGUAAAAAGGCUUGUAGGUGGCCACGUCAAGUCGGAUGUGAAAUCUCCCGGCUCAACUGGGAGGGGUCAUUCGAUACUGGCGGGCUCGAGGCCGGUAGGGGGAAGCGGAAUUCCCCGGUGUAGUGGUGGAAUGCGUAGAUAUCAGGAGGAACACCGGUGGCGAAGGCGGGGU